CUCAAGCGCUUGGAUCCCUACAGCACCUGCGAGGGCUUCUCCUGGCUGCCGCUUUCGUUCUGGCGAAUGUUCGGGGUGGCAGCCCCCCUUCGAGGCUUGCACGAGGGCGUCCCGGCAUCCGCGAUCAAGCGGGCCCUGCUGCUUUUGGGGCUGACCCUGCGGCUGGGGUGCUGCGGCGUCGCUCUGGCUAUGCCCGGUCCACUCACGGACUCCCUGCUUUGGCCUGCUCAGCUCAGGAGAACCGGGCCCGACUCCAUUUCGGGCAGUGGUGGACAGGGAAACUAGUGCCUGCCUGUAGUGGUCCCAGGCAUAGAGCUUCCUGCAGCUACCCUGUGGCUUAGUUCACGUUUUGUUGCUUUGACCACCGAUGAGAAAUGUGCAGUAGGGACCCUGUAGGAGUCUGCUUACCCGAAAUGGUUUCUGUCUUGAAUAGUUGUUGAGUGAAAGGUAACGUGUUUCGAUUAAAUAUAUAUGUGUGUGUGUGUGUGUAUUCCCAGAAGUGAAAAGACUUAAAUAUUCUUUUUUUUUUUUUUUUGAAAUGGAGUCUCGCUCUGUCGCCCAGGUUGGAGUGCAGUGGCGCGGUCUCGGCUCACUGCAACCUCUGCCUCCCGGGUUCUCUGCCUCAGUCUCCCAGUAGCUGGGAUUACAGGCGCCCACCACCACGCCUAGCUAAUUUUUUUUUUUUUUUUUUUUUUUUUUUUUUUUUUUUAGUAGAGACGGGGUUUCACCAUCUUGGCCAGGCUAGUCUUGAACUCCUGACCUCGUGAUCCACCCACCUCGGCCUCCCAAAGUGCUGGAAUUACAGGUGUGAGCCACUGCGCCUGGCCUAGGAUUUUCAAUCUAGAAACGGUCGUGGAGUGUCUGGGACUUGUAUGUAGCUCGCUGUUUACUAGAGGGUUUGGUAUUUCACGUGUAUUUAAUUUAUAUUUGGAUUGGAUUUUACUUACUUUUCUAAUCAGCCUGUGAACUAAAGUGAACAAACAGGUUUCAGUGCCCUUUGUUUUCAGACAUAAGGAAACAUGACCGGAGAAAUUAUAGUCAUGCAUUGUUUAACAGAGAUAUGAGAAAUGCAUCUUAGGUGAAUCUAUCAUUGGAAUAUCAUAGAGUUUUUUUGUUUGUUUGUUUUGUUUUUGAGACAGGGUCUUGCUGUGUCGCUCAGGCUGCAGUGCAGUGGUGCCAUGACAGCUCGCUGCAACCUCGAUCUGCUGUGAUACUUCUGCCUCAGCCUCCUGAGUAGCUGGGACUGCAGGCCUGCAUCACCAUGCCAGACUAAUUUUUUAAAAUUAAAUUAUAUAUUUUUGUAUAUUUUAAUUUUCUUUUUAUAGAGAAAGGGUCUUGCUAUGUUUCUCAGGCUGGUCUCGAACUCCUGGUCUCAAGCAAUCCACCUGCCUCAGCCCCCCAAAGUGCUGGGAUUACAGGCCUGAGCUACCAUGUCUAGACCACAGCCGGCUAAUUUUAAUUUUUUUUGUAUAGACAGGGUUUCUCCCUCUGUUGCCCAGUCUGGUCUCCAACUUCUGGGCUCAAGCAGUCUUCCUGCCUUGACCUUCUAAAGUGUUGGAAUUACAGGCAUGAGCCACUGAGUCCUGCCCAUAGAGUGUACUUACGCAAACCUAGAUAGUAUAGCCUACUGCACACCUAGGCUAUAUGAUACAGCCUACUGCUCCUACGCUACAAAUCUCUACAGCAUGUUACUGUACUGUAUACUGUAGGCAAUUGUAACACAAUGGUUGGUAUUUUUGUAUCUAAACAUAGAAAGGGUACACUAAAAAUGGUACAAUAAAAAUACAAUAUUGUAAUCUGAUGGAACCACUGUCUUAUAUGCAGUCUGUUGUU
rnacentral:lncRNA from 10 species